rnacentral:rRNA from 1 species
GAUGAACGCUAGCGAUAGGCCUAACACAUGCAAGUCGAGCGAAGUAUUCAAGAUAGAUUUCUUCGGAUUGAAGUCUUGAAUAUCUUAGCGGCGAACGGGUGAGUAACGCGUGAGAAACCUGCCUUUCACAAAGGGAUAGCCUCGGGAAACUGGGAUUAAUACCUUAUGAUACUUACAUUUCACAUGAGAAGUAAGUUAAAGCGCAAAGCGGUAGAAAGAUGGUCUCGCGUCCCAUUAGUUAGUUGGUGAGGUAAC